UGUCGAACCCAGGCCCACUGCUUCAAGGAGUAAACCUCUAUAUAUGGGCGCCCACUCUACCAACUGAACUAUCCAGGGAUUCAACAAU